rnacentral:tRNA from 1 species
GAGGAUAUAGCUCAAGUGGUAGAGCACAUCUGUAGCAUGCAUGAGGUUCUGGGUUCAAUCCCAGUACCUCCU